UGAUGAGGACCGAGGAGGCGAGGACUGAGAACUGAGAAAGACUGAGGACUGAGGAAGACAGAGGAUUGAGGACAACCAAGUUGCUGACAGCGUUGAGAGCCGAUGGACUGGAGAGCGACGGCCGAAGAUUGCGUGGAGAGCGACGACCGACGAUUGUGUGGAGACUGGAGAGAGAGAAUAGAGAGCUACAGUGAGGUGAGGAGGAGUCGGCGACUCAACGUUGCAAGUGAAGAUCGAUGACCCGAGUUAGCCACGAUGGUUAAUCGGUCGAUGUCGGGAGGAGAGUAGAGGUUGGA